UUGAGACACAUAAAACUAUUUCUCGAUUAUUCUUAGGUUUCACCAUCACUUUCCAUUUUCCAUUACUCCUUUCUUGUUCAUUGUUUUUAAGAAAAUUUGGUGAAGUCAAGGAUGAUGAUGGAGAAAUUUUCAUUCUAUCAUCCCCCCUCAAGUUGGAGGGGAGCAAAGUGAUACCCAAAUUGUAGAGAUUAUUCUGAUGAGAAGGACCCGAUAAGAAUUUGGUGAAGAUAUAGUUGGUCUUUGGACGGAACAAAGCUUAAAAAGAUCAACCCAGCCAAAUACAGUUACCUAACAAAGUGGCAAUCAAGUUCUACGUGUUUCGUACAUGCAUGAAACACGAGGUUUCGAGCAAUAUGAAUAGCCGCUUGGCUAUUGGAGUGAAUCAACGCCGGAAGUGAAGGAGAAUCCGAUAGAUCUGUAAGUAAUCUUGUCAACUAUGUUAAUUCCGCAACUAAUCUCCUCAUUGACCUAUAUUCUGCUUCUGCAAAUGACAUAGAAAUACUAGCCUGUUUUUUCGAUUAACAUGAAAUCAUAGAACCACCCAAGCUGAUGAAAAAACCACUAAUUGAUUGACGCGAAUCACAGCAUGAAGUCCAAUUGGCGUCCCAAAACGCCUUGAGAGAGAAGGAAGAUAAAGCAUUAAGGAAAAGGCCUUGAUUUGGGAAUUUCUUCAGAGAGCUUGUGAGAAGGAUCCAUGGGAGAUGAGACCGAACCAAGAUAAGUGACAUCAAACUCAUUCAACAAGUCUAAGGUUUAUUUCCUUUGACUCAUUAUGAAACUAGUAGCUUCCCUUAGAAUUUCAAUGCCUAGAAAAUAAUGUGGUGGUCCAAGAUCUUUAUUUUGAAUUCCUGAUGAAAAAAUGACUUUAGUGCUGAGAUUUCAUUAAUAGCAUCCCCUGUAAUCAGUAUAUCAUCAACAUAGACUGUCACUACAGCAAUAGAAUCUCCAGUGUUUUUAAAAAACAAAAAGUAGUCAUUAAGAGAAGCUGUAAAACCUUUGAAACUAAGUGCUCCUGCAAGCCUGACAUACCAUUGCCUAGAGGCUUGUUUGAGCCCAUAAAGAGACUUUAUCAGUCUAUAAACUUGAUUGGGUUGAGGGAGAUCCAAACCAGUAGGAAAUUUCAUAUAAACCUCUUCUUAUAGUCCCCUUGCAAGAAAACAUUGUUAACAUCAAAUUGAGAAACUUCCCACCCAUUUUUUACCAUCAAAUUGAGAAACUUCCCACUCAUUUUUGGGUUGAUAGUGGUUAUUUUGACCACUGGGGAAUGUUUCAUUGAAAUCUAUCCCUUCUCUUUAUUUAUCUCCCCUAAUCACUAAUCCAGCCUUUAGCCUUUCAAUUGUACCAUAUGCAUGUUAUUUAACUUUAUACACCCACUUACAAGGAAUAACUUUCCUACCCUUAAGUAAACAAACAACAUCCCAGGUCUGAUUUUGUUGAAGGGCCUCAAUUACAUCUUGCAUGGCCUUGAUCCAACCCGGAUGAGUACAAGCUUGGUAAACGUUGGUAGGUUCUGUGAUUAUGGAAGUAGAAUUAAUAAUACUCUGAUUAGGAGUAAAAAUAGUAGGAAAAGAAAUUGAAGGCGGAGGACUAGGGACUACCAAAACAGGAUUCUGUGACAUUGCUUAGAAAAAUAGAGUUACAAAAAUAGUCUUUAAGAUGAGAAGGAUGAACCCCAAAAUUCUCCCUUUGUGACUUUCUAGUGGGUGGUGGUGGUUGUACAAUGGGUGGUGAAUCAUGAGGGAGUGGUGGUUGUAUAACACGUGCAAAAUCAUGAGAUAGCGAAAUAGAAGGUGGUGAAUCAGAAAGUGAUGAAACAAUAGGAGAGGAAGGGUUAGUAGGUUGAAUGUUAGGAUCUGUAUCAGUGAUAGAUGAAGAUGGUGGUGAAAAUCAUUAACCAUAUUAGGAGAAGGAAAAAGAGAUGUAGGAACAGAAUGAAUAGCGGAAUGAAAAGGAAAAAUAGUUUCAAAGAAAUGUACAUCUCUGCAGACAAAUAAUUUCUUAGUUUCUAAAUCAAGAAGUUUUUAACCCUUUGAGUACUAGGAUAUCCAAAAAAAAAAAAAAAAAAAAAAAAAAAAAAACAAGUUUCUUUGCUCUUCAAACAAAUUUUCCUCUACCUUCAGCCAAAGUACUUGCAUAACAUAAGCAGCCAAAGCACCUUAAAAACUGAUAAGAUGGUGAAUAACCAAACAAAAUCGCAUAAGUUGUUUUUCCAUGAAGAACUCUAGAAGGUAAUCUGUUGACAAAAAAGGUAGGCACAGGAUGCAUUCUCCCCAAUAAAUCAUUGGCAGCUUAGAUUGAAAAAGUAAUGCCAUGGAAACUUCAAGUAAAUGCACAUUUCCUCUCACCCACCCCAUUUUGUUGUGGGGUGGCAACACAAGAAGUUUAAUGAAUUAUUACUUGUGUGCUGAAAAAAUUGGAAAUAACUUCACUUUUCCCUAAUUCCAUGGCAUAAUCAAAUCUGAUGAAUAUCACAUUUGCACUAAACUGCCUUUCAACCAUUUGUAGAAAACAUUGGAUAACAGUGAAAGUAUUACUAUUAGUUGCAAGCAAAUAAGUCCAAGUACAUCUACUAUAGUCAUCUACUAUAGUGAAAAAAAAAUACUUAUAGUGAUUGUGAGUAGGAACUCUGUAUGGUCACCAUGUAUCAAUAUGAAUUAGUUCAAAAACAUAUUUAGAGGUGAUUUGACUGGUAGAAAAUGGUAACCUAGUUUGCGUAGCUUGAGGACAAAUAUCAUAAUAACAAGUAAAAUCAAGAGGAAUAGAAAGGAAACCGACAUUUUUCAUUGAUGAAUAUGGAAAAUGCCUAACCUGUAGCAAUCAUCCAUGACAUGACCUACUUUUCCACAAUAAGCACAAGAAACAUUAGGGUUAAAAAAAAUUGCUUUUGAAUUUUUAGCUCUGUUUUGUGAACCUUGUGGGUUGUUGAGCAUUGUUC